UACGUAGGGUCCGAGCGUUGUCCGGAAUUACUGGGCGUAAAGAGCUCGUAGGCGGCUUGUCACGUCGAUUGUGAAAGCCCGAGGCUUAACCUCGGGUCUGCAGUCGAUACGGGCUAGCUAGAGUGUGGUAGGGGAGAUCGGAAUUCCUGGUGUAGCGGUGAAAUGCGCAGAUAUCAGGAGGAACACCGGUGGCGAAGGCGGAUCUCUGGGCCAUUACUGACGCUGAGGAGCGAAAGCGUGGGGAGCGAACAGG
rnacentral:rRNA from 1 species